AGCUCAUCAAGAGAGGUGGAGGGAAGGGCCCUAUGAAACCCGGCAACCGGCAAAUGUACGGUGCCAAUUCCUGCAGGAUUGUCAUAUUCAGUCCUGAAAGAUGGGGG
rnacentral:ncRNA from 2 species